rnacentral:lncRNA from 1 species
CAUUAUUAAAACAGAAAUAAAAUAUAAGUUUGGAAAGAUUUAACCGAGAGAGAAGGCAGCUUGCUGCUUCUGUUUUUCUCCUCCCCGAGGCUCACGCUGCUCGCCAGUCCGCCCGUGCCUCUGGUCUUCUACCCGUGUGGACUGUGCUUCUGACAAUCUCUCUUCUUUCUCCGCACAGUUUUCUGUGCAGCUUCUCUCACUAGCUGUCAGGCAGCUGUCCUUCUUCUCUCGCUGCAAGGCUCUGACCUGCCUUCCAAAUUCCCCCGACUUCUGACCUCUCUCCCCUUCUCUUAUCCCUC